rnacentral:tRNA from 1 species
GGCCGGAGAGGAUCCAGUCCGUGCCGCCUUCCGCGCGGCGGGCGGUGGUGGUGAUGCGGUGGCUGUUGGAGCCGGCGUCGGGCUC